GAUGAACGCUGGCGGCGUGCCUAAUACAUGCAAGUCGAGCGAACGGACGAGAAGCUUGCUUCUCUGAUGUUAGCGGCGGACGGGUGAGUAACACGUGGAUAACCUACCUAUAAGAAUGGGAUAACUUCGGGAAACCGGAGCUAAUACCGGAUAAUAUUUUGAACCGCAUGGUUCAAAAGUGAAAGACGGUCUUGCUGUCACUUAUAGAUGGAUCCGCGCUGCAUUAGCUAGUUGGUAAGGUAACGGCUUACCAAGGCAACGAUGCAUAGCCGACCUGAGAGGGUGAGCGGCCACACGGGAACUGAGACACGGUCCAGACUCCUACGGGAGGCAGCAGUAGGGAAUCUUCCGCAAUGGGCGAAAGCCUGACGUAGCAACGCCGCGUGAGUGAUGAAGGUCUUCGGAUCGUAAAACUCUGUUAUUAGGGAAGAACAUAUGUGUAAGUAACUGUGCACAUCUUGACGGUACCUAAUCAGAAAGCCACGGCUAACUACGUG
rnacentral:rRNA from 1 species